UCUCAUUGGGCCGUGUGCCUCGCAGAUUGCGGGCUGUCUUCUAAUUCUGCUGCGUCACGGAUUAAGUAAUCCUGAAACCUGUGCCAUAAUCCCAAAAAGGAGGGCGAGUUUCCUGUGACUGCUUUAGAGGGCACACAUUCUUUGUCAAGGAUCCCUCAGGAUAAAUAAAUUAGAAGCAAUCACUCAGCAGCACUGGCCAAGUGUUCAGGAAGCUCAAUAACUAUAUAACUUUUGAUCCCAGCAGUAACAAACUCUGAGCUCCAACUUUUAAGAUAAACAAAAUACAGCAUUAAACUGGAUGAUCCUUC